rnacentral:rRNA from 1 species
GAUGAACGCUGGCGGCGUGCCUAACACAUGCAAGUCGAACGAAGCAAUUGAAGGAAGUUUUCGGAUGGAAUUCGAUUGACUGAGUGGCGGACGGGUGAGUAACGCGUGGAUAACCUGCCUCACACUGGGGGAUAACAGUUAGAAAUGACUGCUAAUACCGCAUAAGCGCACAGUACCGCAUGGUACGGUGUGAAAAACUCCGGUGGUGUGAGAUGGAUCCGCGUCUGAUUAGCCAGUUGGCGGGGUAACGGCCCACCAAAGCGACGAUCAGUAGCCGACCUGAGAGGGUGACCGGCCACAUUGGGACUGAGACACGGCCCAAACUCCUACGGGAGGCAGCAGUGGGGAAUAUUGCACAAUGGGCGAAAGCCUGAUGCAGCGACGCCGCGUGAGUGAAGAAGUAUUUCGGUAUGUAAAGCUCUAUCAGCAGGGAAGAAAAUGACGGUACCUGACUAAGAAGCCCCGGCUAACUACGUG